rnacentral:misc_RNA from 1 species
GCUGGGACCAUUUCACAGUUGCUUCUCAUGCCCAUGCUGGCUCCUGCUUUAGGAGAGGGGAGGUUGCUUUCAAUAGGUCUCUUCUUUACAUGCACACAUAUGUUUCUUUACAGCAUUGCGUGGUCCUUCUGGGUACCUUAUGCUGCUGCUAUGCUCUCGAUUUUUUUUGUGUUUUCACAACCAUGUAUGCGGACAAUUGUGUCGAAGCAAGUUGGGACCUCUGAGCAGGGAAAGGCUCAAGGAUGUAUCUCAGGCAUCGGUUCCUUUGCCAAUGUCGUUUCUCCCUUAGUGUUCUCACCUUUAACAGCUUUGUUCCUAUCUGAAAGAGCACCAUUUCAUUUCCCUGGUUUCAGUAUAAUGUGCGUCGGAUUCGCUUCGAUGAUAGCCAUGAUUCAGAGUACCAUGAUGAGGGUGGCUCCUCCCAUUUCAAAUGAGAGAAUCAGUAAUAGCAACUACAUGGAUGCGUAAUCAUGCCAAGAGACUUCAAAAUGCGUUUGUUGCUUUCUACCUUCAUAUUGAGCCCUACUAUUUAUUGUGUGCUAGUGAAAUAGUAUAUUUGUGGGCCUAGAAAAUCUGAACCUGAAAUUGAAACCUAGCACUGUUGGUUGUAGGAGUAGCUAUAAGAUUUAAACCAUUUGAUGUUAUGGAUAGUGAGUAUCUCAUUGUAGUAGCAUUGAGUAGAGGAGACUCAAAAUGUGAGAGCCUAAAAUAUGGAAGUGGAUCAGUGAUAACCGCAGUGGAGUUUGUAUGGCGUCCAUGUCUGUUUAUUAUUAUUUCUUUUGGCAGUCCGUGGUAUUAGUUAGAUGUGGCUAUAAAUAGAAAAGCUCAGUUUGUAUGUUAUGCAAUGA